UACAGAGGGGGCAAGCGUUGUUCGGAAUUACUGGGCGUAAAGGGCGCGUAGGCGGCCCGCUAAGUCGAACGUGAAAUCCCCGGGCUCAACCCGGGAACUGCGUCCGAUACUGGGUAUCUCGAGUAUGGAAGAGGUGAGUGGAAUUCCGAGUGUAGAGGUGAAAUUCGUAGAUAUUCGGAGGAACACCAGUGGCGAAGGCGGCUCACUGGUCCAUUACUGACGCUGAGGUGCGAAAGCGUGGGGAGCAAACAGG
rnacentral:rRNA from 1 species